rnacentral:rRNA from 1 species
AUUGAACGCUGGCGGCAGGCCUAACACAUGCAAGUCGAGCGGAUGAAGGGAGCUUGCUCCUGGAUUCAGCGGCGGACGGGUGAGUAAUGCCUAGGAAUCUGCCUGGUAGUGGGGGAUAACGCCCGGAAACGGGCGCUAAUACCGCAUACGUCCUGAGGGAGAAAGUGGGGGAUCUUCGGACCUCGCGCUAUCAGAUGAGCCUAGGUCGGAUUAGCUAGUUGGUGGGGUAAAGGCCUACCAAGGCGACGAUCCGUAACUGGUCUGAGAGGAUGAUCAGUCACACUGGAACUGAGACACGGUCCAGACUCCUACGGGAGGCAGCAGUGGGGAAUAUUGGACAAUGGGCGAAAGCCUGAUCCAGCCAUGCCGCGUGUGUGAAGAAGGUCUUCGGAUUGUAAAGCACUUUAAGUUGGGAGGAAGGGCAGUAAGUUAAUACCUUGCUGUUUUGACGUUACCAACAGAAUAAGCACCGGCUAACUUCGUG